UACGUAGGGGGCAAGCGUUGUCCGGAUUUAUUGGGCGUAAAGAGCGCGUAGGCGGCCCGGUAAGUCCGCUGUAAAAGUCCAGGGCUCAACCCUGGAAGCCGGUGGAUACUGUCGGGCUAGAGUCCGGAAGAGGGCGAGUGGAAUUCCUGGUGUAGCGGUGGAAUGCGUUGAUAUCGGAAGGAACGCCGGUGGCGAAAGCGACGUGCUGGACCUCUUCUGACGCUGAGGCGCGAAAGCCAGGGGAGCGAACGGGG
rnacentral:rRNA from 1 species